GACGAACCGUGCAAACGUUGUUCGGAAUCACUGGGCUUAAAGGGCGCGUAGGCGGCUGGCCAAGUCGGGGGUGAAAUACUUCAGCUUAACUGGAGAAGUGCCUUCGAUACUGGCUGGCUCGAGGGAGGUAGGGGUCAUUGGAACUUCUGGUGGAGCGGUGAAAUGCGUAGAGAUGUGGAGGAACACCAAUGGCGAAGGCAGCCUUCUGGGCCAACACUGACGCUCAUGCACGAAAGCGUGGGGAGCAAACAGG
rnacentral:rRNA from 1 species